AUUGAACGCUGGCGGCAGGCCUAACACAUGCAAGUCGAACGAGUGGCGGACGGGUGUGUAAUGUCUGGGAAACUGCCUGAUGGAGGGGUAUAACUACUGGAAACGGUAGCUAAUACCGCAUACCCUCGGAUGUGCCCAGAUGGGAUUAGCUAGUAGGUGGGGUAAAGGCUCACCGAGGCGACGAUCCCUAGCUGGUCUGAGAGGAUGACCAGCCACACUGGAACUGAGACACGGUCCAGACUCCUACGGGAGGCAGCAGUGGGGAAUAUUGCACAAUGGGCGCAAGCCUGAUGCAGCCAUGCCGCGUGUAUGAAGAAGGCCUUAGGGUUGUAAAGUACUUUCAGCGGGGAGGCGUUACCCGCAGAAGAAGCACCGGCUAACUCCGUGCCAGCAGCCGCGGUAAUAC
rnacentral:rRNA from 1 species